UACGGGGGGAGCAAGCGUUGUUCGGAUUUACUGGGCGUAAAGGGCGCGUAGGCGGCGCAACAAGUCACUUGUGAAAUCUCCGGGCUUAACCCGGAGCGGUCAAGUGAUACUGCUUUGCUAGAGUGCGGAAGGGGCAAUCGGAAUUCUCGGUGUAGCGGUGAAAUGCGUAGAUAUCGAGAGGAACACCUGAGGUGAAGACGGGUUGCUGGGCCGACACUGACGCUGACAGCGCGAAAGCCAGGGGAGCAAACGGG
rnacentral:rRNA from 1 species